ensembl:lncRNA
ACUUCCUGGUUUCUACCCAGCCAGCGCGAAGACAGAACCGAAGGAGACUGGGGGCGAAGGCGAGAGGGGUCUGUGGAAGAGACCGCUCGGCGGAGAGCGGUCCACCUUUUCCUGGAGAAAGACGAGGUCCCAGGGCAGGAGCCCGGGCGGCGCCGGGCCUUUACUUCGUCACCAGCGGGCGGGGAGACCGGCCUCGUACCCGCCGGACGAGGGGCCCAUUCCGAGUCAGGGAAGCCGAAGGCCUGGAGGCGCUUCCGGGAGCAGGGAGGGAGGCGGCGCGUGGAUGGCGAGGGCCCGGCAAGGAUUCUCCCCAGCCCCUGUGCCUGCGUCUCCUGUGGCUUCUGUGCACGGACCGUGUCCUGUGCUGUGCAGGGAAAGCUGCCUCUCUGCUCGGGACGUGGAUUCCUUUCACCUCCUCCUCGCCUGGCUACUCCUGACGCAGGUUGUCAGGACUCCGCUUGGUGUCACCCGUCCAGGAAGCCUCCCUUAAUUAAGGGCCCUGGGCACUCACCCCAUACGUGACGAGCAGCCCUCCUAUGUAUUUCGUCGCACCCCCGUUGUUUAUAUCAACUAUUCCACUCACCACCCUUCUGGGCAAUCCUUUAUCUCCCCCUCUGAAAUCCCAUCACUGAGGGCUGGGACCCCUCCCAGUACUUAUCCCGUUUGCCGGCGCUAGUCUGGUGCCUGGCGUGUGGAAGGCGCUCAGUAAACGUUUGUGGAGCGAAGAAACGACGCAAACGUGAUGAGCACGACAGCCCGAAACAGAGAAGACGCAGUUAGGAGGUUACUGGCCCCGCGCGGGGGUAAAGGGGGAAGGUCGGGCUCGGGGUGGCAGGACACCAGAGGGCACGGGUGACUGCCGGGGUGCUCUUGCGGGAGGACGGGCGUCAAGGCCCCCGGCAAGGUUGCGAUAAAGUUUCUCUCCGAGGCACAGACUGCCGCCUGCGGGGUCAGCAUUUACCUCUCCCUUCCUCCUUCCUAACCCAACUUCGGCGGAGAGCUGAGGGCUGAGGGCUUUAGGCGCAUUACCUCCAACAUUUAUUUCACUCGACGGCCGAAGGCCGUAAGAGGUGGGCCUUAUCAUUAGGCAUGGGUUAGGGUGAGGCCACUCCUCCAGGGCGAAUUUCAGGGGUGCCCCCCGCCCCAAACCCUUCGGCAAUCAACACAAACUAUAGUUCAAUGCAAUAUAUCUUACCUUGUGGGCGGCAAGCCACCCAGGGGCCGAGGCAAGAGACUGAAGGCACAAGCUGUUACAGUAUAAUAAAGAAAAUAAUCAGAAUAAGAAAAGUUAUACCAGAAGUAGGAUACAGAUAUGAUUAUAUAUGACUAUUACUAAUCAUUAGUUUGCAGCAUUACUCUUUGUUCUACUACUGUAAGAAUCUCUGUUCUGUUGUUUUAACCUAGGGAAAACCGGGCCAUAGAGAGUUAGCAGCUGGAGGGACACGGUGAGAGGUGACCAGAAGACAAGCGUGUGAGCCCUCGGUCACGCCCGGAUAAGGGCCGCUCGAGGGCUCCUUGGUCUAGCGGUAACGCCAGUGCCUGGGAAGGCCCUCCUUACUUAACAGACCUUGGUCUAGCGGUAACGCCAGUGCCCGGGAGGGCACCCGUUACUUAGCACACCGGGAAAGGGAAUCUCCCUUUCUCCAGGGGAGAUGGAGAACACUCUGCUCCGGCACCUCUUGUGGGAGGCCUGACAUUAGCCAGGCCCGCCCUCAGUCGUCCGGAGGCUGGACCGUCUCCCUGUGAUGCUGUGCUUCAUUCAGUGGUCACGCUCCUUGUUCACUUUCCACGUUCGCCUGUACACCUGGCUCCUCCUUUUAAGUUCUUAGAAGAUAGCAGUAGCAGAAUUAGUAAAAGUACUAAAGUCUUUGAUCCUUCUGAUAAGUGCGUAGAAGAAAUGCUGACCUAUGCCGUCCUCCCUCUCCGCCUCGGCUGUCACAAAGGGAAAGACCCCCUGUCCAGUGGACACGUGACUCGCGUGACCUCUCAAUCAUUUGAGAUGACUCACACCCCUUACCCUGCCCCCUUGCCUCGAAUACAAUUAAUAGCAGCCCGUCCAGGCAUUCGGGGCCACUACCGGUCUCCGCGCUUGGUGGCAGUGGUCCCCCGGGCCCAGCUGUCUUUCAUCCU